AACGUAGGUGGCAAGCGUUAUCCGGAUUUACUGGGCGUAAAGCGUGUGCAGGCGGGGGUACAAGUGGUGUAUGAAAUUUCCCAGCUUAACUGGGAAGGGUUAUGCCAGACUGUACUUCUGGAGUGCGAGAGAGGGGCGUGGAAUUCCGGGUGUAGUGGUGAAAUGCGUAGAGAUCCGGAGGAACCCCAGAGGCGAAGGCGGCGCCCUGGCUCGCAACUGACGCUCAGACACGACAGCAUGGGGAGCGAACGGGG
rnacentral:rRNA from 1 species